rnacentral:rRNA from 1 species
AUUGAACGCUGGCGGCAUGCUUUACACAUGCAAGUCGAACGGUAACAGGCCUUCGGGUGCUGACGAGUGGCGAACGGGUGAGUAAUGCAUCGGAACGUACCCAGAGGUGGGGGAUAACGCAGCGAAAGCUGUGCUAAUACCGCAUGUGAUCUGAGGAUGAAAGCGGGGGACCGAGCAGCAAUGUUUGGCCUCGCGCCUUUGGAGCGGCCGAUGUCGGAUUAGCUAGUUGGUGGGGUAAAGGCCUACCAAGGCGACGAUCCGUAGCUGGUCUGAGAGGACGACCAGCCACACUGGGACUGAGACACGGCCCAGACUCCGACGGGAGGCAGCAGCGGGGAAUUUUGGACAAUGGGCGCAAGCCUGAUCCAGCAAUGCCGCGUGCGGGAAGAAGGCCUUCGGGUUGUAAACCGCUUUUGGCAGGAACGAAACGGUGUCCGCUAAUACCGGGCGCUAAUGACGGUACCGGCAGAAUAAGCACCGGCUAACUACGU